rnacentral:misc_RNA from 1 species
GAAAUGCGAUACGUAGUGUGAAUUGCAGAAAUACGUGAACCAUCGAAUCUUUGAACGCAAAUUGCGCUCGAGGCUUCGGCCAAGAGCAUGUCUGCCUCAGCGUCGGGUUAAUACUCGCCUCAACUCCCCUGCGGAGAAGAGCGCGGAUCUGGCUGUCCCACUGCGUGUUGUGCUCACGCGCAGCAUCGUUCGUGGGUCGGCUGAAGAUGAGAGGCUGAUGCAUGGACCCGUUAAGGGCCUCAACUGGGUAGGUGCUCACGCGCUAAUUGCUUUAGUUGAUGGCUUGGAUCCGAGCUUGUCGGCCCGAAUCAGGAAAUGAGCCUCGGCUCAUCUCAACCCAUUUUCUCGACCUGAGCUCAGAUAAGAACACCCGCUGAACUUAAGCA